rnacentral:rRNA from 1 species
AGCAGCCGCGGUAAUUCCAGCUCCAAUAGCGUAUAUUAAAGUUGUUGCAGUUAAAAAGCUCGUAGUUGAAUUUCGGGAUCAGUACGCUGGUCAUGCCUUUGGUAUGCACUGGUGUCACUGGUUUCUCCCUUCUGAAGAUCCGUGAUGUCAUUAAUUUGGUGUCGCGGGGAAUCAGGACUGUUACUUUAGAAAAAUUAGAGUGUUUAAAGCAGGCUCACGCUUGAAUACAUUAGCAUGGAAUAAUGAAAUAGGACGUUUGACCCUAUUUUGUUGGUUUCUAGGAUCGACGUAAUGAUUAAUAGGGAUAGUUGGGGGCAUUAGUAUUCAAUUGUCAGAGGUGAAAUUCUUGGAUUUAUUGAAGACUAACUACUGCGAAAGCAUUUGCCAAGGAUGUUUUUACAUUAAUCUAAGAACGAAAGUUAAGGGGAUCGAAGACGAUCAGAUACCGUCGUAGUCUUAACCAAUAAACUAUGCCG